UACGUAGGGUGCGAGCGUUGUCCGGAAUUAUUGGGCGUAAAGAGCUUGUAGGCGGUCUGUCGCGUCUGCUGUGAAAAUCCGGGGCUCAACCCCGGACUUGCAGUGGGUACGGGCAGACUAGAGUGUGGUAGGGGAGACUGGAAUUCCUGGUGUAGCGGUGAAAUGCGCAGAUAUCAGGAGGAACACCGGUGGCGAAGGCGGGUCUCUGGGCCGGAACUGACGCUAAGGAGCGAAAGCGUGGGGAGCAAACAGG
rnacentral:rRNA from 1 species